rnacentral:rRNA from 1 species
UAGGGAAUCUUCGGCAAUGGACGAAAGUCUGACCGAGCAACGCCGCGUGAGUGAAGAAGGUUUUCGGAUCGUAAAACUCUGUUGUUAGAGAAGAACAAGGACGUUAGUAACUGAACGUCCCCUGACGGUAUCUAACCAGCAAGCCACGGCUAACUACGUGCCAGCAGCCGCGGUAAUACGUAGGUGGCUAGCGUUGUCCGGAUUUAUUGGGCGUAAAGCGAGCGCAGGCGGUUUCGUAAGUCUGAUGUGAAAGCCCCCGGCUCAACCGGGGAGGGUCAUUGGAAACUGGGAGACUUGAGUGCAGAAGAGGAGAGUGGAAUUCCAUGUGUAGCGGUGAAAUGCGUAGAUAUAAGGAGGAACACCAGUGGCGAAGGCGGCUCUCUGGUCUGUAACUGACGCUGAGGCUCGAAAGCGUGGGGAGCAAACAGG